UACAGGAGAAAGCAGGGGAUCUCCGGACCUUGCGCUAAAUGAUGAGCCUAAGUCGGAUUAGCUAGUUGGUGGGGUAAAGGCCUACCAAGGCGACGAUCUGUAGCGGGUCUGAGAGGAUGAUCCACACUGGGACUACACGGCCCAGACUCCUACGGGAGGCAGCAGUGGGGAAUAUUGGACAAUGGGCGCAAGCCNGAUCCAGCCAUGCCGCGUGUGUGAAGAAGGCCUUUUGGUUGUAAACUUUAAGCGAGGAGGAGGCUCAGUUAAUACCUAAGAUGAGUGGACGUUACUCGCAGAAUAAGCACCGGCUAACUCUGUGCCAGCAGCCGCGGUAAUACAGAGNGUGCGAGCGUUAAUCGGAUUUACUGGGCGUAAAGCGUGCGUAGGCGGCUUUUUAAGUCGGAUGU
rnacentral:rRNA from 1 species